rnacentral:misc_RNA from 1 species
AGUUUUGAAUCGCAGCCGUGUCGAGGAGAUUACGACGACGACGCCGCACGCCACAAUCCGCAGCGCUUGGAGUCUCAGUCCAGUUUGGCACUCGCUUAGCGUCGGACGUGUCUGGUUUGUUGGAGAGGUUCGGAUUAAGCUGGAGGGUAUUCCAAAAGCAGUGUUUAAGCUUAGAACGACUGCGUGUGAGUGUGUAUGUUCGUGUUUCUCAAGUGAGAGUGAAAGAACUUUACUGCUGCUGCUCGUUGGAGGCGUAAAUCGCGAAGAAGUUCUGCUCGUUCCAGAUCAGUUUGGAUGCUGAGCUCGACCGGGACGGGUCAGCUGCAGGGAUUUGCGUUGCCGGGUCUUGGAAAUAUCGAGCGUGAUCGACUUUGAGAUUUUGCCUAAAGUGGCUUGUAAAAGCCUAAGCCCAUCAAUCAAUCCGCUUGACUUUAAGUCACCUCUCGCAGGUGUUGAUAUCGGGGGACGUUUUUAUUAAAGUGUCAAAAGAGCACCUUUUGGGAGUGGAUAUUCGGUUGUAAAGUGGUGUCGUGUGUUUCAAAGUGAUUGGUGUUACAAAAACAGUUUUUUGUUGCUGUAGAAGAAAAUAAGCCACCACCGAGCCAAGAGCGCGAGACGACAGGUUGAAGAUCUCUCCCCCCACUUACCCACAAGAAAGCUUAACGGUGGAGCUGGCAAAAGAGAUUUGGCCCGGAGGCGAACAUUUUUGUUCGAACGCGCGCGAUGAAGCUAUCAAACUGCGAUGCUUAACAAGUCAAUAAACGUGUGUGUGUCGAGAAACCGAUUGCCCCCAGCAGUUGAACCCUGCGCCGAGUCCGUGCGAUACCAGUAGCAGCGAGCAAGGCUCGACGGCCGGCCGGCAGAAGUCGAAAAUCAAAUAAAUAAAUUUAUUAUCAAAUCAGGUCAAUUUGUAUUAAGAAGAAAUACAAGUGUGUGUGUGUGUGUGUAUUGUUAAGUGAGUGAGCUGAGUUGAGUGUGCUCGACAAAUCAGCAGAUGGAAUGCAGCAGCAUCAGCGGUUCUUCUGCGGCGGUGCGUGACAAUGUGUGAAAAGUAUAACUCUCAAUCUUAAUCCGCGCGCGCUCGCACACAGUGUGUAAUGUACAGUCGCCGAGAGUGUUCAGCAAUUGCAAGUCUGUGAAAACGCAUCUCUAUUCAAGGGUGAAAUCGGCGGGGUACUAAUCAGCAGUGGCAACAGCAGCAGCUCAAUCUCACAUUACCCUCUCGCGUCGCGUGUGUGUGUUGGAAAGGAAGAUGCGCAAGUGAUAUCUGUUCGCGCGUUUUGUACUGAGUAGUCACUGGUCGGGAGUGAUAAUAGAGACGUUCUGUUUUGAACCGGUUCGCGCCACCGCGAGUAAACAAAUCCUCCGGCGUGUACUACUAACAGCGUGCCCAGUGUGGCUUUGAGAGCAAUAAAUCAAACCGAAACUGUCAGCAAGAAUUGGAUUUUCGAACCGCGCCGAGACUUCUGAGAAGCCGACGUCGGCGAGGCGCACCCGCGGCAGCAAUCGCGCAAGUGUUUUGUGUUUUGUAAAUUGGCCAAUUGAUUACGCGGGACACCCCCCCUCAUACGCUUUGCUCCGGUUUGCGUACUACUGCGGCUGAUAGUACGAGUGGAUCUGGAUACGUGCUGCCCUGAAGGACGACGACGACGACAUGAAGCUGGCCGUGGUUUGUUUGGCCGUGCUGGUGCUGCGUGGAGCGCUGGCCAUUCCGCCGAAGUCGGAACCGACGAUCUCCGAGUGUACGGCCAAGGGCGGUGAGUGUGACGAGAGCAAGGGGCGGCCAGUCUGCGGCACAGAUAACCAGACCUAUCCGACGCGGUGCCACCUAAUCCGGGCGCAGUGCAGUGGCCACCAGGUCAGCCUCAAGCACCGGGGCACGUGUAAAGACGUCUGCCUCGCGUCCCGGACGUACGCCCUCCAGCACCGGUCCAGCUCGCCGUACGGCGUCAAGUUCGUGCCGCGCUGCCGGGAGGACGGAACGUACGCCCCGGUCCAGUGCCUCGAGAGCGUCGGCUGCUGGUGCGUCAACGGCCAGGGCAAACCGCUGCCCAACACGACGGUCCAGCACGGCAAACCGGUUUGCGUGAAGAAGGGCAAAUCGAACCAGCGCCGAUCCUCGCCCCGGAAUCCGGUUAGGAACAAACGCAGUUGCUCCCGCAUGGACCGGGCGGAAUUUAAUCGGAACCUGUUGAAGCUGUUCGAGAACGAGCACAUUCGGGUACACCACCAUCAGAGUGCGAAGAGCGUUGGGCUGACGGAGAAGAGCGUGCUGGACUGGAAGUUUGGCUCGAUCGACGGCAACAAGAACGGCAUGCUGGACAAGAACGAGUACCGGGAGCUGAAGCGAUUGAUCAAGAAAGUUGUGAAACCAAAACGGUGCGGCCGAUCGUUUGGAAAGAGCUGCGACGCCGACCAGGACGAGCGGCUGUCCCGACUGGAGUGGUCCAACUGUUUUUCGAAAGAUAACCUAACACCCGAGAUGGAGCACCACUACCCAUCAUCUUCAUCAUCCGGUUCGUCCGGCGGGCUGUUCCACGGCCAGCAUCCGGCGGUCGGUGGCGGUGGAGGUGGCACAGUAAUCGGUGUCGGUGGCUCCUCCCCCUCCUCACAUCACUCCUCUAGCUCUAGCUCUAGCACUAGCUUCCUCCGGUACGACGAGUCACAGCAGAAUGGCUCCACCGAUUACACUGAAUUUGAAGAUGAAGACGAUUACUCAGAAAAUGACGACGAUUCGGACGAACUGCCCGAUAGUGAUAACACGCUACUAAACGGACUGCACUUUCGCAUUGCCGACAAGCGGCUGCAGCCCAAUCUGUUGCUGCAGGCCAAAACGACGAUGGAGCUACGUGGCGAGCAGGAUCCCAUCUUCAAGGACAGCGAGGCCGAGUCGGACUGCCUGAGUGACCAGGCGGCCGCCCUGGAGGAGCAGAGGAGUGGAGCGACCGCCCUGUACGUGCCGGAAUGUACCGCCGAUGGCCGGUAUCAACGGGUGCAGUGCUACCGAUCGACCGGCUACUGCUGGUGCGUGCACGAGGACACUGGCAAGAACAUUCCCGGCACGUCGACGAAGGACAAGCGACCCCAGUGUGAUGUCUAUCCGGGCGUUGGAGGUCGUCAGAUGCGGGGCUGCCCGGACGACAAGAAGCUGGAGUUUCUGAGGGAUUUGAAAGACUUUUUGAAGCAGCAGAUUGCGAGUAACUCGGUCACGGCCGCAAACAACACCAAGUGGGGCACGGAAGACGAGAAGAUCGCCACGCUCAGCUUCGUCCUGCUGGAUAAGAACAAGAACAAGGUUUGGGAGCGCAAGGAGUGGAAGACCUUCCGGGAGCUGGUGACGGCGGCGAGGCAACUGCGCAAGUGCGGCAAAAAGAUGCCCCGAUAUUGCGACGUGAACAACGACCGCAAAAUCACACUGUCCGAGUGGCUCAACUGCCUGCAGACCCAGCGGACGCCGUACGUGGACAGCAUGGCUUCCCCGAAGAGUGCGUCCUCGCCGUCGGCGUCGGCAUUCUCCUCAGCUUCCUCCUCCUCGUCGGGAGGCCCGUCGCUGUCCGACUGGAAGCCAUCGCUGUCCACGUCGUCCACGUCCAAGUUCCGUGGGCCGAACCCGCUCGAGUCGGUCCUCAAGAGUGACUAGGGGGAAUGAGAGACGAGAAUCUGCACACGAAUGAGACUUAAAACAAACUCUGUCGACGACGAUCGGAGGCAGGUGCCCAGGUUGCUGCUUCCUUCCUGGCCACGGAUAUUAUCCGAAAAAGCCCCUUUUAGAGAUAUGGCGAGUUGAUUUGAGAGCGAGUUGAAAACUGAGUGCUAGUGCCAUGUUCUAAACAGUCAAGGUUGUUAACGAUGAAAUUGUCGCUGUGGGCGAUUGUUUGACAAUCUUCACUAGAAUUAAAAUCGUCGUCGAUAAACAAUUUUAUCAUAACCUUGACUAAACAGCAAUAACAGUAAACGAGUGCACCCUAUUGAUGGGGAAAAGCAAUUAUCAUAAACGAACAAACAAUUGUGUAUCAUAUACGAUCAAAAGUACCAUCCUUCCCACUAGGCAAUGUAACAAAGCAUUUUGUGUAUUUUUGUCAUUUGAAGAACCAUGCAACUCCAUCUGCACUACUUUGUGUAGUUAAUGGAGACGCAUGGUAGUUCAACUACAAAAUCUGCUGAAUCCUCAAGAUUUCACUGUUUCCGACUGUAAUUCUUCCCUGUUACAUUGCGACAUCCUCCCCCUUCCCCCUUCCUCAUGAUACCAGUGAUAUUUUCGCACUUUAUAUCGCACUCUUAAACUAAAUCAGCGAAUCAAAAAAAAAAAAUAAAAAAGUUUCGCUUUCAAAACCUACUUUUACGAACAAGAGAAGAAGGCGCAUGAAUGUCCGUUGUGCUGAGCUGAGGUAGCAUUUAAGCAUUUAAGGUACGCAAGAGAUUGUCGCCCCACACCGAAAAAAAAAGAUUCGUUUAAAUGAAAUCAGUAUUACACAGUGUGUCGUCAAACAUUAAAUGAUUACUAGGGUGUGGUGACAAUCCAGGGUUGACGGUGCAGGAGAGGGUUAUUUUUUGUUUUGUUACGAGCGAGACGGAAAUGCAGAUGGGGUCACAGGCGAACACAGUAUAUGUGCUACAAUUGAACUAAAAGUGCGUGUGAUAUAUGUUAUUUAAUUUAAAGUGUACGUUAUUUUUUAGACUAUAUUUGUACGAGCGAAUCCCAUUUUUUUAAAAGUUAUUUUAUAGCAAUGUUAGCCUCCGUGUUUUGAGUUUGCGGCUUGAAUCAGCAAACUAUUUAAAGAGAAUAUAAAACACAUACUGAAAGAGAGAGAGGAAACACUCACAAGCGGAUGCCGUACAUUACAGGAGACAGUUACGCAGUUCAGGCAUCCAAAUUAAAUAUUUAAUAUUUAACAUUCUCAAGACAA